rnacentral:tRNA from 6 species
GGAGAGGUGGCUGAGUGGUCGAAAGCGGGUGACUCGAAAUCACUUGUGGGUUUAAAGCCCACCGAGGGUUCGAAUCCCUCCCUCUCCG